rnacentral:rRNA from 1 species
UACAGAGGAGCCAAGCGUUGUCCGGAUUGACUGGGCGUAAAGCGCACGCAGGCGGCUGCGCGCGUGGGGUGUGAAAUCUGGCCGCUUAACGGCCAGGCGCCAUCCCAUACGGCGCGGCGGAGUGAUGCAGAGGUCGGUGGAAUUGCCGGUGUAGUGGUGAAAUGCCGUAGAGAUCGGCAGGAACACCCAGGGGGAAACCAGCCGACUGGGCAUCUUACUGACGCUAUGCGCGAAAG